rnacentral:misc_RNA from 1 species
CCAUGUGCCAGGCACUGUUGCCAAUCCC